rnacentral:rRNA from 1 species
GUCUAUGGCCAUGUUACCCUGAACAAACGAGAUCCCGAUUAAUCUCGGAAGCUAAGCAGGGUUGGACCUAGUUAGUACUUGGAUGGGAGACCACCUAUGAAGACCAGGUGCUGUAGGCA